UAUAAAAAAUAAAAAGAAGAAAGAGAUAGAGGGCGUAAAAAAUACAGCACACAGACACCUGUAAGCGGAGUCGCGGACGUCCAUCGGGGUUCUCUGCUCUCCUACUUGUACGCCUGUCUAGAAACAAAGGCAUAGCGGCGAACGAUCUGCCCUCUCGCCGAAUUUUGAUAUUUUAUUUUAAAAAUUAGGAACAAUUUCCGGAAUAUUCCGGUGGCGCGGAAUAUUCCGUCGAAGGCAGGAUGGUUCCGAAGUCAAGGGAAGACGAGUCUAAGGAAGAUGAAAAAGAUGAAGAAGCAAACCGCUUACUACAACCCCAAUCACCAGCAUCGUUUUCUUCAUUAGACGAUGAAGAAGAGGUCGCUUUUGAGGCGCGGGAGAAGAUAUUGAUCGUUGAUUUGGAAUCCGCUGAAGCCGUAGAUUCAAACACGGUCCCGCCCUUCUCGUGGAAGAAGCUGUGGCUGUUCACGGGACCGGGAUUCUUGAUGAGCAUAGCUUUCUUGGAUCCAGGGAAUUUGGAAGGAGAUCUCCAGGCCGGAGCAAUUGCUGGGUACUCGCUGCUAUGGCUGUUAAUGUGGGCCACAAUUAUGGGAUUGCUGAUUCAGCUAUUGUCGGCAAGGGUCGGGGUCGCCACGGGUCGUAACUUGGCGGAACUCUGCAGGGAUGAGUACCCUAAUUGGGCCAAACUGGUGCUGUGGUUUAUGGCGGAGCUGGCCCUGAUUGGGGCCGACAUUCAGGAGGUCAUUGGGAGUGCCAUUGCUAUUCAGAUUCUUAGCCAUGGCGUUUUGCCGCUAUGGGCUGGAGUCCUUAUUACGGCAUCGGAUUGUUUCGUUUUUUUGUUUAUUGAGAACUACGGAGUGAGGAAGUUAGAAGCUGCUUUUGCAGUCCUCAUUGGAACAAUGGCUCUAUCAUUCGCAUGGAUGUUUGGUGAUGCAAAACCCAGUGGGAAAGAACUUUGGAUGGGUCUUUUGCUUCCUAGACUAAGCUCAAAAACAAUUCGGCAGGCUGUGGGAGUUGUGGGGUGUGUCAUAAUGCCUCACAAUGUAUUUUUGCAUUCUGCUUUAGUACAGUCUAGGAAUAUUGACCCAAACAAGAAAAGCCAGGUUCAAGAGGCUCUGAACUAUUACUCCAUCGAGUCGUCAGUUGCACUUUCGGUUUCUCUCAUGAUCAAUUUGUUCGUGACUACUGUUUUUGCUAAAGGAUUUUAUGGUACAAACGUAGCAGAUAGUAUAGGAUUAGUUAAUGCCGGUCAGUAUCUCCAGGAAAAGUAUGGUGGGGGGCUCUUUCCUAUUCUUUAUAUAUGGGGUAUUGGGUUAUUGGCAGCUGGACAGAGCAGCACAAUAACUGGCACAUAUGCUGGCCAGUUUAUCAUGGGUGGUUUUCUCAACCUUCGUUUGAAGAAAUGGAUGAGGGCAUUGAUCACAAGGAGUUUUGCAAUUAUCCCAACUAUAGUUGUAGCAAUUAUUUUCAAUACAUCUGAAGCUUCGUUGGAUAUCUUGAAUGAAUGGCUUAAUGUUCUUCAGUCAAUACAGAUUCCUUUUGCGCUUAUUCCUCUUCUUACCUUAGUGGCAAAGGAGGAGGUCAUGGGAGUCUUUAAGAUAGGACCUGUUCUUGAGAGGGCAGCAUGGACUGUGGCUGCACUGGUUAUGUUGAUUAAUGGAUAUCUAUUGCUAGAUUUCGUCAUUUCUGAGGUCAAUGGACUCUUGUUUGGUUUUCUGGUCAGUGCAAGCACAACUGCAUAUGUAGCAUUUCUUAUAUAUCUUCUUAGACAUUGUGGUGCCCUUCCUUCCGAUUGGUUGAGUUUACUAUCCAAGAGGUUUGCAUUCAUCAGGAAUUGAAUCAACAAAUCUAUAUCAGUUUCAAUAAAUAUUUGAAUUACCAUACUCUGCAUGAAAGCAAGCCAUUUGGCACAAAAAUCUUAUGUUCGUGAGAAGAGAAGCAUUCUUCCAUGAUAAUUAUCUUGGCCUUGGUGCCUACUUGAAGGUGAGCGUAACUAUUGAAAGUGUUUGCCUUCUAGUCUCAACAGCAGUCUCUCCAUAUAAACAGAACACUUUAGUUGUGAAUUGAUAAAGCAGAUAUUUUCUUCUACAGAUAGACAUAUCUUCAUUGGAUGAGUUACAUUUACUGUAAAAGAUUCGGAAGACCCUAUCUAAUUGUAGGUAAAUUUUGGGUGCCUCUGAAGUCUUGGUUUUGAUAGCCGGUCGUACACGAUGAACAACCAAUUAAUGGCAGAGACUGAGAAAAGCAGAGGAAAGUGUCGAGACAACUUCUUCGACUUUGCUGAAGUGACUGCCUCUGUUUGAUUAUAAAUUUAUUAUAUUGUUAGGCUCUUUUUUAUGUUAACUUUUGGAAGCGUGGACAGUGGACCAACCCUUAGCAUGCCAGUCCAAAUUCUGCUAGUUUUCUUUCUUUCCGUUAAUUUGGGAAACUGAAAGUGAUAGUCCUUCAAUAUCCCUACCAUUCAAAACCACCUAAAAUGCUAGUAAUUUCAGACCUGUUUUUGAAUUAGUUAGCCAUGUAAGUUUUUCAAGGGCUAUCAUUAGAUUGGUUCCCCCAUUUUAUUGUAUUAAUUAAUUUCUGACAUUGUUCA